GGAGGGUGCAAGCGUUGUUCGGAAUUAUUGGGCGUAAAGAGCGUGUAGGCGGUCCGGUAAGUCAGAUGUGAAAGCCCUGGGCUCAACCCAGGAAGUGCAUUUGAAACUACCAGACUUGAGUACGGGAGAGGAGGGGGGAAUUCCCGGUGUAGAGGUGAAAUUCGUAGAUAUCGGGAGGAAUACCAGUGGCGAAGGCGCCCCUCUGGACCGAUACUGACGCUGAGACGCGAAAGCGUGGGGAGCAAACAGGAUUAGAUACCCUGGGUAGUCCACGCCGUAAACGAUGAGCACUAGGUGUAGCGGGUAUUGACCCCCCUGCUGUGCCGUAGCUAACGCAUUAAGUGCUCCGCCUGGGGGACUACGGUCGCAAGACUAA
rnacentral:rRNA from 1 species